CCGCAUCCGUGUUGCUCGAUCUGUGGCCGAGUAGUUCUGACAUCACUUCCCCGGUGCCAGACCUACUUGGACGCAGAUCAGGCCACACGGCCGCUAAUUG
rfam:Cyphomyrmex costatus contig6041, whole genome shotgun sequence.